AACGAACGCUGGCGGCAGGCUUAACACAUGCAAGUCGAACGAGAUCUUCGGAUCUAGUGGCAGACGGGUGAGGAACACGUGGGAACAUCCCUUUCAGUUCGGAAUAACGUCGGGAAACUAACGCUAAUACCGGAUACGUCCUUCGGGAGAAAGAUUUAUCGCUGAAAGAUUGGCCCGCGUCUGAUUAGCUAGUUGGUGAGGUAAUGGCUCACCAAGGCUACGAUCAGUAGCUGAUCUGAGAGGAUGAUCAGCCACAUUGGGACUGAGACACGGCCCAAACUCCUACGGGAGGCAGCAGUGGGGAAUAUUGGACAAUGGGCGCAAGCCUGAUCCAGCCAUGCCGCGUGAGUGAUGAAGGCCUUCGGGUUGUAAAGCUCUUUUAUCCGGGAAGAUAAUGACUGUACCGGAAGAAUAAGCCCCGGCAAACUUCGUGCCAGCAGCCGCGGUAA
rnacentral:rRNA from 1 species